AACGAACGCUGGCGGCAGGCUUAACACAUGCAAGUCGAGCGCCCCUCCUUCAAGCGAGCUUGAAGGAGUUUUUCCUUAUGGAAGACUUCAAGCAAGCAGAGCUUGCUUGAUGGAGGGGAGCGGCAGACGGGUGAGUAACGCGUGGGAAUCUACCUAGCUCUACGGAAUAGCUCCGGGAAACUGGAAUUAAUACCGUAUACGCCCUUCGGGGGAAAGAUUUAUCGGAGUUGGAUGAGCCCGCGUUGGAUUAGCUAGUUGGUGGGGUAAUGGCCUACCAAGGCGACGAUCCAUAGCUGGUCUGAGAGGAUGAUCAGCCACACUGGGACUGAGACACGGCCCAGACUCCUACGGGAGGCAGCAGUGGGGAAUAUUGGACAAUGGGCGCAAGCCUGAUCCAGCCAUGCCGCGUGAGUGAUGAAGGCCCUAGGGUUGUAAAGCUCUUUCAACGGUGAAGAUAAUGACGGUAACCGUAGAAGAAGCCCCGGCUAACUUCGUGCCAGCCGCCGCAGUAAAAC
rnacentral:rRNA from 1 species